rnacentral:misc_RNA from 1 species
UAAUGAUGGAGAUGUGGAACCCUCUUGGAAUAGUCGGUGUUAUUACAGCUUUCAACUUUCCUUGUGCUGUUCUUGGUUGGAAUGCUUGCAUUGCACUAGUUUGCGGGAACUGUGUAGUUUGGAAAGGUGCUCCAACGACCCCCUUAAUCACCAUUGCGAUGACGAAGUUAGUGGCUGGGGUUCUAGAAAAGAAUAACUUACCGGGUGCAAUUUUCACAUCCUUUUG